rnacentral:lncRNA from 1 species
CCUAUUCUUAAAAUAACCCUCAGCCACUCGGUUUGUAAUUUUUGUAAUAAUUGACCCCAAUUUAAUCUGUCCUUUAUAAAUGAUUAAAAUAAUAUUAUGUGGGACCCACCAUCUGCUUUUGGGUUAAAAUUUUACCAUUGACAAUUAAACAAAACGAUGUGUUGCAAACAUUGAGGAUUUAGGCAACCCAAACACGGUAUCCACCAAAAUACAAUCUGAAACGGUGUCGUUGUAAAAGCAAGAUGCCUAAUAAUGGACUUAGGAGGAACGAGAGUAUCAAUGUUUGUCUGGUGAUUGAUCUGAUAUGAUAGCCCCGGGCGAGUGAGAGGAAGAGGAGCGGCUACUUAACCGCUGAUUCGAUAGCCGUAGCAGCGGAGAAGAUCCCAACAACGGCUAUUUGAACACCGGUUAGUUCUAGCUCGAAGUUUGCCCUUAGUUGUCUUCAAGUUAGCAGCCCAAGAAGCGGAUGCACACUUGAUAAGAGCAAGUUGGAGUUGGCCAUGACAGAUGUCCUUGAUUCUCUCGACUCAAAAGAGGAGGAAAAAGAGAAGAGAACCCGAGGAAUGAACAGAUCAGAUCAGAUCAACGAGCUCUAUCCAUUAGAUCUUGACUGCGUUUAGGAAAAGAUUGUAGCCUCGUAUCGGAGAGCGGAUAAGGCUGAGUCAAGCUCUUGGGCGGCAACAAUGGCAGCGGUGGUGGUGAAGAGGAGAGAGAGGAGGAGGAGAAUCAGACCCAUCUUUUCAGUGAACGCACCGUUUUGUUUACAAGAGAGAGAGAGAUAAAACAUUAAAAAACUUUAAACGCACCAUUUUGUUUAACUCUAGUUAAGUUUUAACUAAAAAGCAAACAGUGGGACUCACGUAUAAUAUUAUUUUAAUCAUUUAUAGAGGGCAGAUUUGAAAAAGGGGUUCGAUUAUUAUAAAAGUCUUUUAUACUGGAGUGCGGGUUAACUUGAAGAAUGGGGCGCAACUGUAAUAAAACGCUAAUUUCAGGAUUUUUU